UGCGUAGGCGGGCUGUAAAGUCAGGCGUGAAAUGCAGGAGCUUAACUCCUGAACUGCGCUUGAAACUUAUGGUCUUGAGUGAAGUAGAGGUAAGCGGAAUUCCUAGUGUAGCGGUGAAAUGCGUAGAUAUUAGGAGGAACACCAGUGGCGAAGGCGGCUUACUGGGCUUUUACUGACGCUGAGGCACGAAAGUGUGGGGAGCAAACA
rnacentral:rRNA from 1 species